CCCUUAGAUGUUCUGGGCCGCACGCGCGCUACACUGAUGCAUUCAACGAGUCUAAAACCUGCUCUGAUAGGGGUGGGUAAUCUUUUGAAUGUGCAUCGUGAUUGGGAUAGAUGAUUGAAAUUUUUCAUCUUCAACGAGGAAUGCCUAGUAAACGCAAGUCAUCAGCUUGCAUUGAUUACGUCCCUGCCCUUUGUACACACCGCCCGUCGCUCCUACCGAUUGAGUGGUCCGGUGAGGCUUUGGGAUCUGAGCGGAAAGAGCGUUUCGCUGUUUCUGCCCGGAAAACUCAGUCGAACCUUAUCAUUUAGAGGAAGGAGAAGUCGUAACA
rnacentral:rRNA from 1 species